UUACAUUUGGUCCCCAGAAUUUCAGAAAUGAUGAAUAAAAAGGGAUGUAAUUCUGACAUGGAUAACCAAGUCUGUAAAUACCCUUCAAUGUGGCUGUCUGCAAGUUGACCUGAUCUUCAUCGUUUCAUUUCAAAUCCAAUGUGCUGGAACACAGAAAUUGUACCACUGUGCAAAUACUAUAGUAGACUGCACUGUAUGCAGAAUUUCUUGUUAACUGCCUCUCAGUUGCAUGUAGCCACAUCAUGUUAACUGACACAUUUUGUUUCAGAAUUCCUCACAUUGGAGCCAGAGGAAGCAGUGUGGUGCCUCGGGGUGGAUCCGGAGGUGCAGUGGGUGGGCGCAGGUGUCCGGCGUCCGUUUCCAGGUCUUUGGGGUUGCCGUUCGUAAAGGUGGGGUCUCCUUCAGGGUCAGUACAGCAGGGCAUAGAAGGUCCUUCCUCUCUCUGCCUUUCACACUCUCACACGCUCAGGAAUGGUGCCGACUGAACUUGUUUGCAGCCUCGACCGUGCCUUAAAUACCAUUCCCUGCUCAUUAGGAAACAGGCUGCAGCUGAGUCAGUACCUUCCACUCUGCUCACUCACGUGCGCUGUCCGGGGUCCUGGACUGCAGGUAGAGGGAUCUCUCUCCAAGGUGCUGAUCUCCCCAUCACCUCUCUAGGAAGAUACACUCCUUCCCAGACCUCCCCUAAUGCGCAACGUCUGCGCGGUUGCUCUGCGCGGGUCCCUCCAGGGUUCUCCACCCACGUGGCACAACAUGCAGGAGCAGGGGUGCCACAUACUCCCCCCCUCAGCUCCACGCCCCAGGCGGGAGCAUCUGCCCCUAGGCCAUCCUCUCUCCUGGAUAGCGCAUCAGCAUUCUGGUGCAGCUUCCCAGCGCGAUGCUCCACCUUGAACUGGUAAGGCUGCAACUCUAAAAACCAGCGGGUCACUCGGGCGUUGCUGUCCCGGUUAAGGUACAUCCAUUUUAGGGGAGCAUGAUCGGUCACCAACAAGAACUCACGGUCAAGUAGGUAAUAUCGUAAUUUACCUACCGGCCAUUUGAUGGCGAGACAUUCCUUCUCAACCGUGGCGUAAUUCCUUUCCUGGCUGAGGAGUUUUCUGCUGAUGUAUGUCACUGGAUGCUCCACUCCAUCCUGGAUCUGUGACAGGACUGCUCCCAGGCCCACUUCUGAUGCGUCGGUCUGCAGCACGAAGGGUUUCUGAAAGUCGGGAGAGAUUAGUACAGGUUCCUCACCCAGGGCGGCCUGUAAGUCCUGGAAGGCUGCAGUGGCGAGGGGGUUCCACUGGACCCGGUUGGGCUGCUCCUUUUUGGUGAGGUCAUGUAGCGGGGUUGCUCGGGCUGCAAACUCUGGAAUGAACUGCCGAUAGUAACCCACCAGGCCCAGGAACAUUCUCAACUGUUUCUUUGUGGCCGGUUGGGGCCAGGUGCCAAUGCUGUCGACCUUGUUCGACUGGGGCUUCACCCGCCCCCUCCCGACAGUGUGGCCAAGAUAGGCUGCUUCCUCCAAUCUAAGCCGGCACUUCGUAGGGCUAGCCGUGAGCCCGGCCUCCCUCAGGGACAUCAGCACAGCUUCGACUUUGUCGACAUGGCUGUCCUAGUCGGUGCUGUGGAUGACGAUGUCAUCCAGGUAGGCUGCCGCAUACUUCUGGUGGGGCUGCAACACCUGGUCCAUCAACCUCUGGAACGUGGCUGGGUCUCCAUGCACGCCAAAGGGGAGUACUGUGUACUGGUAGAGGCCUGUGGGGGUCGCAAAGGCAGUCUUCUCCCUGGCACGGGGUGUUAGGGGAACUUGCCAAUAUCCUCACGUCAGGUCCAGGGUGCUGAUGAAUCAGGCCGGUCCCAGCCGCUCAAUGAGCUCGUCCACUCUCGGCAUGGGGUAGGUGUCACACAGGGAGACAUCGUUCAGCCGGCAGAAGUCAUUACAGAACCGCCAGCUCCCAUCUGGCUUGGGGACCAGCACCACGGGACUGGACCAGGCACUGCGGCUUUCCUCAAUGACCCCGAGGUCGAGCCGGUCGUGCUCUGGGGCACCUCUCGGACUGAAAAGAGGAGAGGGUAAGAGCUGGUCCCAGUCCUUGCCGUCCUUACCGUCAGGCACAUCUCUUUUAGUACCCCUGACAUGAAGCACGAUCCUUGGUCUGUCAGGAGUUCCUCCGCUAUCCCGACCCUGCUAAAAAGCAGGAACAACUUCCUGGCGACCGCUUUUCCUGUCGCGGUCCUGAGCGGGACAGCUUCCGGGUAGCGGGUUGCGUAAUCCAGGAUCACAAGGAUGUACCGAUGUCCCCGGCUGGACUUCGGCAAGGGCCCCAGGAUGUCCAUCGCAAUCCUCCUGAAGGGUACGUCAAUGACCAGCAGGGGGAUUAGUUGGUUACCUUAGGGCUGUGGAGUUGGCACACGGCGCAGUGUCGGCAGUAGUCCUCCACAGCCCUUUUCACCCUGGGCCAAUAGAACCUCGCCAGGAUCCUCUCAUAGGUCUUCUCCAUCCCCAGAUAGGCUCCCAGCAGGUGAGUGUGGCCUAAGUAGAGGACUCGGGGCACAAACGGUUGUGGGAUGAGCAGCUGUUCGACUUCCCCCCUGUGGGUUACAGACUCGAUAGAGCAGGUCAUGUUUUACCCUGAAGAAGGGAUAAGCUGGUGUACUCACCGCCCCUUGUGGUGCCCCGUUAAUGUCUCGUGCAUCUCUCCAGGCUUGAGCAAACUUUGGCUCGUUUAGUUGGGCAGUGCCAAAGCGAGUGGGUGCUUCAGUCUCCUCGCUCAUGUCUCGGGGGCCCUCCGAGAAGGCCUGACGGACUUCUCUCUCCAGGGGCGGGGCCUCCCCGAGCUCCUUUUCAGACGCGGUGACCGUUCCACUGGUGGCCGGGGCGCUUGGUUGGCGUUCCCUCUCCGAUAGCAGGGCCUCUCCUUCACUGUCCCCGGACGUCACUGCCCAGACUGGUUGGGGGGUCUUCCCAUUAACACAGGUACAGGUAAAUUCGGUACUACCCCUGCUCUUACCGAGUGCGUCCCCCGUGGGGUGAUUAGGUCCACCCACACCGUAGGGUAUUUCCUUGUGUCCCCAUAGAUACACUCCACCGCCACCUCUUCACCCCUCUUUUCUCCAGCAAAGUCUGGUCGCAGCAGGGUGAUGGCGCUGCCCGAGUCGAGCACUGCUUCAGUGUCCUGGCCCCCCACUCGUAUUGGGAAUCUUGGGGCCUCCGUACUCCGGUGCGCCCAGCAGGUGGUCAUGUACAGGCAGGGGUGCGGUGGGCUGUUCCCACCACUGGCGGUGGGCAUGGACACCUCCUUCCCAGGGCAGCUCCUGGCCAGAUGCCCCUCCUCUCCGCAGUUGUAGCAUCCCACAUGGGCCAUGGUCUCCCUGCGUCGGGUCUGCCCCGGCAAUUUGGGUCAGGGCGGGCCGGUGGGUGCUUCACAGGCUGUGGGCCCCUGGUUGGGCGGCUCUGGGUUUCAGUACGUUCUGAUUGGAGCAUCUUCUGGGUUACCUGAUGGUUUUCGAGGAGGCCUACUAGUAGUUCUACAGAGGCGGGGCCCAUCUGUGCCACGUACCGUUUGGCUUCCUUCGGUAGGGCGCGGGUGCAUCGGUCCAACAACACCCUCUCCAACAGGGGUGGCCCAUCUUCCUCAGCCAGCCAGCUCCUAGUCAGGCAGGUCAGGGCGGCGAUUUGGGACCGGGCAGGCUGGAAGGCGUCAUAUGACCAGUCGUGGUAUCGUUGGGCUCGUGCGGGUAGGCUGAACCCAUAUCGGGCCAGGAUGGCUUUCCUCAACUUGAGGUAGUCGAUGGCAUCAGCCAUGGCCAUAUCCCGGUAGGCCUGUUGGGCCUGUUGGGCCCGUCAUUUUCAUCAACACAUCUCGGGGGGUUCGUCUCGAUCCGUCACGAGGAGAUAGGCGACAGAGUUCGACCACCGCUUCCUGCAGGGCCCGCUGGGACCUGGCCAGCUCGUUGAUGACCGCUUCCAUCAUCAUCCCUCUGGACCCCUCCUCUGCUUCUGCACCUUGCAUCUCGGCUAGUGUAGGGGCAGCCAGUCGUCUCUUUCUUCCCCAGGGGGUGUGGCUUCCAUUCACUCGUGUCGGUUCUUUUGCCCAGACCAACUUCCACAGCGUGGCAUCUAGGAAGAUACACUCCUUCCCAGACCUCUCCUAAUGCGCGACGUCUGCGCGGUUGCUCUGCGCGGGUCCCUCCAGGGUUCUCCACCCACGUGGCACAACAUGUGGGAGCAGGGGUGACACAAUAGUUCAUCACAUUUUUGGCAUUCAUAUGAAUCCAUGUCCAUAGUUUUUUUAAUGCACUUUUGUCAGUUUAGUUGCACUUGAAUAAAACAGGAAUGAAACCAUUGUAACCAUUGGAUAACCCUGUUUACUGCUUUCACAUGAUCAGCAUCAAAACACUCGACAUGGCAUCAAGGCAUUAAAUUCCUUUGGAGGGAGCUUUGAAGCCUGACUUAGCAGCCUGACGUAGCGCACUGCUCAAAAUAAAGCUAAGGUGUAUGGCAAGCCAUUUUAGCAUUUAAUCAUUUUUCUUGAUAUCAAAAAGUGUUAAAAUUUCAUAUCAGGUUUUUAAAAAUUGAUAAGUUUAAGGGCAGUUACCAAUAGGACCCCCUAUAUUGUGAUACAUCCUUAUUGGUGUUCCCAUGAUCACCCCCCCUCCAAUCAAGGUUACUGUUAUUGGGCUGCAAGGUGGCUCAUUCGGUUAAGACACUAUGCUGUGCAUAGUGCCAGUGGAAACUGUGGCCGGUAGAUCUACACAUCUUGGGUGAUGUGUAAUUGAUGAAGGUCCAGUUGGAUUGGGUUUUAUCUAGUGACCUUGCUAGUGACCUUGCUGGUCAGUCAUCAUGUCGAUUACAGUUACAGUUACCACAUGAGAAAGGCAUUCCUUUCGACUUUGGCAAGCUUAGCUGUUGUCGGCGGCAUGCAAAGAAGCAGCUGGCGAUUCCACGUGUUUCGGAGGAGAAUCUUGGAUGUGUAUGCUGUCUUGAAACAGCAGUGAGGUUUGCAGCAUGAAUGCAGCUGCAACUUGAGAAUUCCACAUUGGGAUAACCCCAAGUUUGGUGCCAAAUUUAUUUACUUAAUUAAAUAAAAAAGUUAUUGAUAUUACUGACAUAUUAAAGCUGCUCUUUUUAUUGCAUUGUGUUCAGACGUGUAAAUUGAUACUGCUCAAUGGAUUUGUUCCAGUAAACACCCACAAACAUGCUUUUUUCAUGUUCAGAAUGAAGAAGGAAAGACUAAAGAUCACAAGGGAACUGGAAACAGGAUGUUAACAGAAGAAGAGAGUUUUAUCUCACAACGUUCCUUUGUCCUCCGCAGAUUGCUGUGCGACACCAAUGGAACCCAGGAACAGACUGUUUCUGCUUGUACCACUAUUAGCUAUUCCACUAUUAGUGGUACUGGCUUGCUUACUGUCAUUCCUGCGUUCCGGUACUGAUUCCAAUUGUCUACCACGUGUGGUCUGAUUACUAAUAAAGGUCAGCUGUGUGACUUUCCUCUUGGUUAACCAGGAUUUGUUUGUCAUACUUCAUACAUAGCACUACUUACUAAUAAGAACUAACAUAGAUAUUGUACAGUAUUACUUAUAUUACAGUUUUUUACAAUCAUUUUCACACUUGUCUCAAUACCAUGUCCACUUUUUCAAAACUCUUCACACAGUGUGCUUUUGAAACACGCACCUGAGCACAUCAGUUAACCUUUGGUGCAAAAUGCACUUCAAUCAUCAAAACACUUAAUAUUUCACCCAAAAGUGACUCAUGCUGCCAUAACUAUAGCAUAUGCUUUCUCCCAUAAGACCACUUUGUCACUCAAUGUUCAAUGAACUGCAAAACACAAACAACUAGGAGCAUUGCUAAAUACAUAUAUUAUGUAUUUUCCUUUCCUCUAUUUUUGCAUCCACAAAUAUUUCAAGGUAUGUAAAUUUACAGUAAACUGUAAAUUAAUGAAUGUUUUACUGUAUCGGAAACCCAAAAUAACAAUUUUUACUGUGUAAUGUAAAAUAUGAUAAAGAAACAAAUCGAAAGCGACAGUAUUCUUCAGGGGGUUUACUGUAUUUGUUCACAGUGAAAUAUACUGUUGUUCAGAAAAGAAAAUUUAAUUCAAUCAAUUACUCAAUACAUAACAAUCAAUAACAAAUGCAUACCAAAUAGCAAUAUUCUCACUGUAUACAAUAAUUCACACAUAUUGUCUACUGUUUGUCUACUGUUGGCCUGGCCCAUUCAUCCUGUCCUCUGCAUUUGGCCAUAGAUUUUCAUCAACAUCGCAGCAAAUGUUAUCCUUUGCCAGACACCGAGGAAAAAAUCUCUUUGCGUGCCUUAUCCACUGUUAUGUCCAUACACCCAGCAGCCAUUGCAUCAAGGAGUGACAUCUGGUCAUGUGGGUGGUGGUCAUAAGCCUUCCAUCUCCAUGCAGAAAAUAAUUAUUCUAUGGGGUUGAGGAAAGGCAAGUAUGGUGGCAGGAAUAACAACAUCAUCCUGGGAUGGGCUGUAAACCACUCUGUGACCUGGCGGGAGUGGUGAAAGGCCACAUUGUCCAAUGCAAUCACAUAUACUGGUGCACUCUCUUGCUCUCUUUCUGCUGAAAGCCUUUCAAACAGUUCAUCAAGAAAAGCAAUAAGGUUUGCUGAAUUGUAUGGGCCAAUGAUGGCCUUAUGCAGCUGCAGUCCAUCAACAGAUAUUGCUGCACACAUGGUUAUGUUAGCCCCCCACUGGCCUGGAACAUCUACAGUUGCCCUUCUCCUGAUUACAUUCCGUCCACGGCGGCGUCUUUUUGCCAAGUUGAAAUCAGCCUCAUCCACGUAGAUGAAUGUGUGUUCAGUUUCACUGGCCUCAAGCUCCAUGACUCUCUAUAGUAAAUUUGAGAAUACACAAGGUACAAUAUGUCACAAAUUGUAUAGCUUACUGUGCAAAAUCUCAAAGAAAAUGCCUGUGUGCUGUGUUGUUCAAAAUGACCUUAGAUAUCUUACCUGGACAUAUUGGUACCUGAGUUCCUUGACACGCUCAGAGUUCCUGUCAAAGGGGACAGUGUACAACUGUUUCAUCUGGAUUUGAUGUUUCUGUAGCGCUCUUGAAAUAGUUGUUGUGCUAACACUGUCAAUGUUUGUAAAUAAAAUGUUGUCUGCGAUUA